AAUAUUUAAACAUGCGAAACUGAAGCAUGCACGACAAUGACAGAGCACUCUGAAACACAUGCAUUCAGUGUACCACCUAAAGAAGGUGUUACUGAGGCGAGAUAGAUUGUAUAUAUGCAAGCAGGGAAAUAAAUCAAGAAGCAAAAUUGACAGGGGAUUCGGGUGAGCAAGCGCAAACCUCAGUAAGCAGAGCAGCAGAGACCAAUCAGCCAAGCACAGAAAGCAGCCAACAAUCCACCCAAACGAAUAACCUAGGACCAUGUUAUAGACGAUAUCAGUGGGCUACAAGGGAACAACAAUGAAUCAAGAGAAAAUGCAUCUAGACCAGGCUACACUAAAAGCAGUAAAUUUUGCUCAAAUUAUUCAGACACACACAGAGGACACUGGUUAGUGCAUUUCCCCCACCGUGCCUACCAUGCAAGCAUAAAAACAUAUACGACCCCACCCGACAAAACACUUUAUAUGGAUCUAACGCAGGUUACAAAUCAAACAAAAUCGACAUUAUCACUUGCCAGAAGUUCUUCCACGGGCCAGCAGAGGGAACAGAUAAAUGUUAGUGCUACAACUAAAUGAGCAAACACAAUGAUCGGGUUACCUGCACUUCACGUACUGCUGGAUCUCCUGAAUCACCAGCUCUCUCAGCAACUGCCUUCCAUAUUCGUACCUAUGGAAAUUACAACCUCAGGUGAGACAAGAACAAGAUAAAUCCCAAGAAGUACGUUAUAGAUCAACUCCUCACGGAGCAGCACCAGAUAAUAUAUACAAUCAAACUGGGAUACCAUUUUAGCUGCUAAAACAUUAAUUUACUUCAAAAAGUAUGUACUGCCAGCACGGGGGCCUUGGGCUUUUGUUUGAUCUACAUUCGAUACCCAAAUUUAAAAGACUCGCGAGGAACGGACUAGGGAAUUUUACAGCAAACUCUCGUGUACCACCUACUCAAGAAACUAGGGCCUCUGGACAUCCGAACAAC
rnacentral:lncRNA from 1 species